CCGGCAGGGGGAACGGUCAGAGCAGCCCACAGCGGCAGGGCUCAGACGUUUUCCUCCCCUUCCGUUUUUAAUAACUCUGGGUUUUAGCACUUGCACUUAUUGCAGCGGCUGACAGGGGACCUGCAGGAAAAUCCAGCUUUAUUGGAACGGAAAAGCUUUUCUCCUGGAAUCAGAAGCUGGGAAUGGCUGAAUCCUGUGUUUUACUUGCAAGACACAACUGGAUGUAAAGGUGUGCGGAAGAUGUUUAAACAGCACACUUCCAUCUCCGGCCCUUGUCUGCUGCUGCUCCAUCACUCCCUGACGCUUGCAGUGGCUGCCAGUCCUGGUGGAACAAGGAGCGAUGCAGCUGAGAAUCUGCUGUCUGUGAGCUGCCUUGGGAAAUUGCUUGGCACCAGCUUUAAGAAGCUAGUUGUGGGUGCUAGCUGAAAAUGAAGGCUGCUGGAUUUGCAUGGGGUUUGUGCCCCUCUGUCCUCCUCAGCUGUGGGAUGCAUGCUGGAAGCAGCUUGAGCAGGGUGGUGAGGAGGGAGGGCAGAGGUGCAGGCAGC